rnacentral:rRNA from 1 species
UGGGGAAUAUUGCACAAUGGGGGAAACCCUGAUGCAGCGACGCCACGUGAACGAAGAAGGUAUUCGUAUCGUAAAGUUCUGUCCUAUGGGAAGAUAAUGACAGUACCAUAGAAGAAAGCUCCGGCUAAAUACGUGCCAGCAGCCGCGGUAAUACGUAUGGAGCGAGCGUUGUCCGGAAUUAUUGGGCGUAAAGGGUACGCAGGCGGUUUAAUAAGUCGAAUGUUAAAGAUCGGGGCUCAACCCCGUAAAGCAUUGGAAACUGAUAAACUUGAGUAGUGGAGAGGAAAGUGGAAUUCCUAGUGUAGUGGUGAAAUACGUAGAUAUUAGGAGGAAUACCAGUAGCGAAGGCGACUUUCUGGACACAAACUGACGCUGAGGUACGAAAGCGUGGGGAGCAAACAGGAUUAGAUACCCCCGUAGUCCCUGAGCGGGCUGGCAAGGCGCAU